UGGCCCUUCUGAAGUCUUUUUUUUUUUUGUGUCCCAAGCUAGUCGAAUGAACUGGUGCUGAAUCAUCAAAAGGGCGUUAAUAAUCCUAAAAUUAAGAAAAGAAAAAUCAGGCGAAGGCACCUUUUCCAUGGAAAUGAUCCAGAGCCACAAAACCCGAUAUCCUCUGCCUUCCGUUUUGUUUCUGCUUCACAUGUUAUCACUUCACCUUCCCUCCUUAGCUUACACUGUUCCAGACAAGUAUUUCAUCAGUUGUGGUUCAGACACCAAUAGUACUGCUUCUGGCCGGACCUUCAUCGGGGACUUGACUUCUGGGAAUUCUGGUUCCUUCACCUUUACAAGGCAGAGUAGUCCUGUUAAAGAUAGCAACAAGUCAACAGCCACACCACCUCUCUAUCAAACAGCAAGGAUUUUCAGAGAACGAUCUUCUUAUGAGUUUGUGAUCAGCAGUGCCGGUACUUAUUUGGUACGACUCCAUUUCUUUUCUUUCUCUUAUUCAGCUAACCUCUCCACAGCCCUUUUCGAUGUUUUGGCUUCUGAAAUUUCACUUGUUGGUAACUUUAGUGUACCGCAUGGGAGCAACUCUCCCCUAAUAAAGGAAUUCUUUAUUAACAUCACUGUUGGCAAAUUUCCGAUAUAUUUUAUGCCCCAAGGGUCAUCUUUCGCAUUUGUCAAUGCCAUAGAACUGUUCCUUGCCCCCGAGAAUUUCAUUCCUAGUUCCGCUGAACUCGUAAGCCCUGCUGGAAGUGAGGGUAAUUACGAGGACAUACUCUCUAAGGCUUUACUGACAAUCCACAGAAUAAAUGUUGGAGGCCCCACACUCUUACCUGAAAAUGACACUCUAUGGAGAUAUUGGGUCCCAGAUGAUAGUUUUCUCUACAGUCCAGACACUGCCAAGAACAUCAGCUCUCUUUCAAGCAAGCCUGAUUCCCAAGGAGGAGUUAGCGAAUACAUUGCCCCUGAUUUGGUCUAUCAGACUGCCAAGGAGAUGAAUAUAAAUAGCAGUAGGUCUUCAAAUAACUUCAACAUAACCUGGUCUUUUAAUGUGAGCAAGAAUGCUAUGCACUUUGUUCGCGUUCACUUCUGCGAUUUUUUAAGUGCAUCACCUGGUGCUUUGUUGCGUUUCAAUCUCUAUAUCUAUAGCAACUUCAUUCUUCAAAUCAAUCCAUAUGAAGAAACUGGCCAGUUGGCCGCUCCUUUCCAUGUUGACUAUGUUGUAGAUUCUGAUGAUUCUGGAAUUAUGAGGAUCAGUAUCGGCCCCCGUCAAGAUUCUGGAAAUCAUACUGCCUUUUUAAAUGGGCUAGAAAUCAUGGAGAUAAUGGGGGAACUCGGAAAGUUAGCAAGGACAAGUGAUCCCAAGAAAAAGAACACUAGUGUCUUUGUUGUUGUUGGCUCAGUUCUUGGAGGUUUGGUUCUCAUCUGCAUUUUGGCAGUUGUUUUAUGCUUGGGUCGAAGAUGCAGGAAACCAAAAGCAAUGGAGACUUUGGAUUGGUCACCUGUGCCGGUACAUAGAGGAGGGAGCACUGACAGUAGGCUGCAGGUACCUGAAGGUGCCAUGUUUGGCUCCAUGACGCCUAAUUUAAACCUUGGAUUGAGGAUCUCAUUUGCUGAAAUACAGUUCGCAACGAACAAAUUUGAUAUCAAAAAGAAAAUUGGCAAGGGUGGAUUUGGGACUGUCUUCCGAGGAACUCUGAGUAAUGGCACUGAAGUUGCUGUGAAACGAAGUGAGCCAGGGUCACACCAGGGCCUUCCAGAAUUUCAAACAGAGAUAAUCGUUUUAUCUAAGAUUCGCCAUCGCCAUCUUGUUUCUUUGAUUGGGUAUUGUGAUGAAAAUUCCGAAAUGAUACUGGUUUAUGAAUUCAUGGAGAAAGGGACAUUGAGGGAUCACCUGUAUGAUUCAGCUUUGCCUUCCUUGCCUUGGAAGCAAAGACUUGGAAUUUGCAUUGGUGCUGCAAAUGGUCUUCACUAUCUCCAUAGAGGAUCCUCUGGGGGAUUUAUUCAUCGCGAUGUCAAAUCCACUAACGUCUUGCUUGAUGAGAACUACGUGGCCAAAGUUGCUGACUUUGGGCUCUCAAGGUUAUCAGGUCCUCCCGAUCAAACUCAUGUCAGCACAGUUGUUAAAGGCACCUUCGGUUAUCUUGAUCCUGAUUACUUUAAGACCCAACAAUUAACAGAAAAAUCUGAUGUCUACUCAUUUGGCGUGGUUCUUCUUGAGGUUCUAUGUGCAAGACCUGCUAUCAAUACCUUGCUUCCACUAGAGCAAGUAAAUCUAGCUGAGUGGGCAAUGUUCUGCAAGAAAAAAGGAAUGCUGGAACAGAUUGUGGAUCCUUCAAUAAGAAGCGAGAUCAACCUCAAUUGCCUAAGGAAAUUUGUUGACACAGCAGAGCGAUGCUUGGAAGAAUAUGGUGUAGAUAGGCCUAAUAUGGGAGAUGUGGUGUGGGAUUUGGAGUACGCAUUGCAACUACAACAAACUGCUAUGCCAAGGGAGCUACAUGAGGACAGCACAACCGAUGCUUCAGCCAUGCUAGCACUGCCUAAUAUUCAACAUCUUCCUUCUCUUAGCAUGUCAAUGGAGAGGGAUGAUAUGCCCAUGUUGAGAGAGGAUCUAUCAAACUCACCGGCAAUUGAAGUUUUCUCCCAAUUAAGAAUUGAUGAUGCCAGAUGAAUGCUUUAGCAGCAAAUACGAGUGAACUCCGGCCACUCUGCCCAGAAGACAAGCUGUUGCCAAUACCGGUGGAAAUCAAUGCCGAAGAAAUUCGAAGCAGAAAACGUUCACAGUUUCAUUAACCUCUGCCUUUCCUUAACUGACCAAGAAACAGGAAAGAUGAUGAUUAGUGUCCGGCGCCUUUCCCGCUAGGUCCAGAGGAAGCCACCUUAUACACCUCCCGCUCUGCUCCGGAAACCUGACCACCACCAGCGUCGUUAACAGGCUCUGGAUCAACUGAAGCUUUCAUAGUGGUUGACACAGAACCAAACCCACGGUCAUCGAUAGGAUCAGUAGCAGCAUGGUGAUCAUCGCUCUCGUUCUUCGUUGCUGAUGCAAGAGCUCUAGAAUCAACGAGACUUGGGUUUGUAACGAGUAGGAUCAUGAGCAAGAUGAGUACGGCAAAACAGAAGUGUCUCAUUGUUUGAUAUGUUGAAGCUGUUGGGUUAUGGUUUUUUAAACUCUAAUAUUAUUAGCAGCUCCACCUAUGACAAUCCUUGAAAUAUUCUCUUGAGACCCAAAAAGAGUGGAGCUCUUUUUUUUGUCUUUUGGUUGGGGCAAAGAACGGAGCUGAAGGAGUUGAUUUGGAUUUUCGAAUCUCCAUUGAACAGGUUACCAACCUUAAAUUAUACACACAAGUCGCAUUAAGGGAUAGUUUGGGUGGCACAGGGCGGAGGGGGCUUUUCUUGAAAUGGGACCCUUCAACUAAGAGAACAUUUGACUACAAAUUCUCUUCUGUUUGUUUCGAAGCAAAUUUCACUUUCACAUUUGUGUUCUUCCAUUCCUUUUGUCUCUGAAAUUGAUUACCAAAUUUGGAAACACAAGUGGUGGAAGUUGAUUAUUCGUUUAGGCCGCA